AGACUCUCCACGGUUUGAAGUCUGGGCUCUGGAGAUCUUCGAUAACCAGAGACUUCCUUCAGCGAUCAACUCCCUCCGUUCACCUUGCCGCGUUGGUAGUUUGGGCAGGCAGUAAAAUGAUAAACUUGGGUGUUUAUCUGCAUUAUUUCCACAGCCAAUAACAGCAAAGAUGUGGCAUUUCUAUUCUCAGACGGGUCACCAGUACGUGCCGUUAACACCACAAAAUGAGGCUAGAAACUCGCGUUCCGGUCACUCCAGUGCCCAUGAAAUCUCCCCGCACGGUCUCCCAACAACAAUCGGGCUGAGCCCGCCAACCCAUAAUGAACUGCGGUCGUGAGGGCAUGAAUUGGCGUGACGUCACUCGAAACUCGGGUCGCGGCGGGAAGGGGGCGGAGCCGAGAUGGCUUCACUUCUGUGACGUCAUGCCCUCUCCAUGUAUUCUUCCUCCAAGGUGGCGAGGCCAAAAUUUAUUAAUGUAAAUGAUUUUCAAUUACUGGGCUAGCUGAUUGUAGUGCUCGACAAAAAUAUCGGGUGAUGAAUAAGAAAACUAAGGAACUGCCUUGUUUACGUCAAUGGCCAUUUGAAGGCUUUUUACUUCCGUGUGUGUGUGUGUGUGUGUGUGUGUGUCGAAGACGGACCGGUCACCGCCAGUCCUCGCCACAUUGCCCUGGACCUGCGGGGAGGUGAGUAGUGUUUGAUCGGGAGGGUUUCACUGAAUUAAGAAAUGUAAUCUCGAGCCGUGCAGUGUUAUGUAGGUGUCACGUGUGAAAACCAUCUGUAUACGAGUGUUACGGUAUUUUUGUCGGUUUCUUAUCGUCAUUGCAGAUAGACGCUGGUAUCUACGCACGGUUCCGUGCGUGAGGUGGUGACCACGAGAUGGGAAGCGUGAAGAAGCCUGAGGAUUUUGAUAAUCCCGUGGAUUUUGUUCGGUAUCUCUUUCUCUAUAUUGAUUUUGAGGUGCUUCAAAAGGUGUUCGAAAAGAAGGCACAGAUAAUAAAAAGGAUUUGGACCCGAAAUGUUAUUGAAAGCAUUUUCCUAAUUCCCCUGGCUCUUCUGUUCUUCGUUGUCUUCCUCUAUAUAUUUUGGAUCCUCGUAUGUUGGCCAUGUCGGAGAGUCUACAGAUAUCAUCGACCUGCUCAGCGCAAGAAAAAACAAUCUAAGGAAGCAUCAGUAAAGUGAUGAAGAGUAACCUGGCAAGGGUUGGGUUCAAUGGGGCGCGACAUGACGACGCAGACCAUCCAUAGUCUACCGAAUGCCCGUUUCCGCCCUGUCAGUUGGUUUGUCCUGAGCCAACUUCCUAAACUUACUGCAGUUGACUGACCAAACAGACUCCACAAAAACAGAUUCCUGCAAUGACUGCACCGUUUCUGCCCUCGGCCGGUCCAGGGAUGACGCGGGGUUGUCUACAUUUUAGCUAAGCCCAAAACCAGACGUGACAAGAGCGCGGAGCAAUUGCCCGUUGCCGCGGGUUGGAGCCAUGCUAUUUUUUUUUUUUUUAUUGAGCUGACUUUACUCCGUUGAAGGGGAAUGUAACCAGCUGAUCAAUUUAUUUUGUUUUAGUUUAAUUAUAUUAAUACUUCGCCCGAUACAGCAUGUGUAUUCGGACUUAGUCUUGUCUCGGGGCUGGAGCUCUAUCAUUUUAGUGUUGUGGUUUAUUUUGAAGAGUAUUCUACGUAAUUCGUCCGUAUCUUCAACAGUAAAUGUGUUGCGACUUUUUAAAGAACGUGUUGAGGUUUUUAAAAUAAAGAUGAAUUUAGGUUAUAGUUUACGUGGAUUUUUUAGUUAUGGUGAAAUUGAAGAAAUGUAAGUGUGCGAGCGUAGGGAUCGGCAGGGAGCGGCGUCUGUUGAGCCACGCACCCCUUGCCCAUCACCUUUUGUGAAUGCAGGAAGGUGUACGGCUGAUGAAGAUGCUCAAUCAUCACUCACCUUAAGUACAAUAAACUAAUCCAGAUACCUGAUUUAACUGUU